ACCCGUCAACGCUCCCCAUGGGGGCGGAGGGAGGGCGAACAUUCCAAUCGCCCUUGCCCCGCCACCCUAGGGCCCCAAUGUCGCCCUUGCCCCGCCUUGCUGCAGGACGAGCAGCGAGAAUAAUACCCGGCACGGUGGGCACCAAGGAACACUGAUGUCGUAGAGCGCCGCACGCCUGUCCCGGCACGCGGCACGAUCCUUCCAUACGUCGAACUUUUACGACUUUCGACAACGAAUAUCUUGGCUCGCAUCGAUGAAGAACGUAGCGAAAUGCGAUACUUGGUGUGAAUUGCAGAAUCACGUGAACCAUUGAGCCUUUGAUCGCAAGUUGCGCCCGAUGUUAUCUGGCCGAGGGCACGCUUGCAUGGGUAUCAUGCCUCGCGUCGCUUCGCGCAAUCCGCCCCUGCCCCGGGGAGGCGGCGGACGCGGAUGCAGAGAUUGGCCCCUCGUGUCGAAGUGCAGGCCGCCGGUCGGGACGGACGUGGCGAGUGGUGGACGGACACGUACGACGCUUAACGCCGCCUCCGACCCCCGAUCCCAGCGGCACAUGCAAAGGAACCCACGUUGAGCACGGUUCGGAACACGAU
rnacentral:rRNA from 1 species